AGUUGGUUAGAGCGCGCGCUUGAUAAGCGUGAGGUCGGAAGUUCAAGUCUUCCCAGGCCCACCAUUUUGAUCGAGUGCGGAGCAUUCGUCUUCUGGUACGGGGCCAUAGCUCAGCUGGGAGAGCGCGUGCUUUGCAAGCAUGAGGUCGUCGGUUCGAUCCCGUCUGGCUCCACCAGAUGGUUUGAUCACCAACGGCGUUACCGUCGUCCGCGAAACAUCACUUCGCACUCAUUGGUCCGGAUGGACGGUGACGUGCGUGUUUUCUGACAUCGUAAAGAGGAGAUCGAUCCGAGUUUGGAUCAAGCGAAGCAAUUCGCCUGAACCAUUCAUUAUCUCCGGGAUCAUUUCGGCGCUCGCUUUCAAUCGUGAGAUUGGAUGCGGGUUGUAAAUGAUCCCUUUUAGCGAAGCUUGACCGCCUCGCUAUCGGGCCGAUCUUACGAAGCAAGCUGGUCUUUCUAGUCAAUGUCCGGCUGCGCGAUCGCAUUCAUCGAGGAUGCGCGCCUUCAGUGGCAAUUGUGCAGACAACAUUCUGCCGAGUGUGUGGACAUUGAUAAUGAGAGCAAUCAAGUGCCUUAAGGGUGUUCGGUGGAUGCCUUGGCGCUGAGAGGCGAUGAAGGACGUGCUACGCUGCGAUAAGCCGUGGGGAGCUGCGAAGAAGCUUUGAUCCGCGGAUUUCCGAAUGCUACCGCUGCGAUAA
rnacentral:misc_RNA from 1 species